rnacentral:rRNA from 1 species
UACGUAGGUGGCGAGCGUUGUCCGGAAUUACUGGGCGUAAAGAGCACGUAGGCGGGAACUUAAGUCAGGUGUGAAAGACCGUGGCUCAACCACGGGGUGGCAUUUGAAACUGGGUUUCUUGAGGGCAGGAGAGGAAAGCAGAAUUCCUGGUGUAGCGGUGAAAUGCGUAGAAAUCAGGAGGAAUACCAGUGGCGAAGGCGGCUUUCUGGACUGACCCUGACGCUGAGGUGCGAAAGCGUGGGUAGCAAACAGGAUUAGAUACCCCGGUAGUCCCUGAG